UACGUAGGGUGCGAGCGUUAAUCGGAAUUACUGGGCGUAAAGCGUGCGCAGGCGGUGAUGUAAGACCGAUGUGAAAUCCCCGGGCUUAACCUGGGAACUGCAUUGGUGACUGGCGGGCUAGAGUAUGGCAGAGGGGGGUAGAAUUCCACGUGUAGCAGUGAAAUGCGUAGAGAUGUGGAGGAAUACCGAUGGCGAAGGCAGCCCCCUGGGCCAAUACUGACGCUCAUGCACGAAAGCGUGGGGAGCAAACAGG
rnacentral:rRNA from 1 species